rnacentral:rRNA from 1 species
GAUGAACGCUGGCGGCGUGCCUAAUACAUGCAAGUCGAGCGAACAGACGAGGAGCUUGCUCCUCUGACGUUAGCGGCGGACGGGUGAGUAACACGUGGAUAAACUACCUAUAAGACUGGGAUAACUUUGGGAAACCGGCGCUAAUACCGGAUAAUAUAUUGAACCGCAUGGUUCAAUAGUGAAAGACGGUUUUUGUGUCACUUAUAGAUGGCUCCGCGCCGCAUUAGCAAGUUGGUAAGGUAAAUGCUUACCAAGGCAGGUAGGGGUAGCCGACCUGAGAGGGUGGACGGCCACACGGGAACAGAGACACGGUCCAGACUCUGGCGGUGAGCAGCAGUAGGGAAUCUUACGCGAUGGAGGAGAGCGUAACGGAACAACGCGGCGUGAGUGAUGAAGGUCUUAUGAUCGUAAAACUCUGUUAUUAGUGAAGAACAAAUGUGCAAGUAACUAGGCACAUCUUGACGGUACCUGAUCAAAAAGCCACGGCUAACUACGUG